rnacentral:rRNA from 1 species
UGAGUAACGCGUAGGAAUCUACCCAGUAGCGGGGGAUAGCCCGGGGAAACUCGGAUUAAUACCGCAUACGCCCUAUGGGGGAAAGAUGGCCUCUUCUUGAAAGCUAUCGCUAUUGGAGGAGCCUGCGUUGGAUUAGCUAGUUGGUGGGGUAAAGGCCUACCAAGGCGACGAUCCAUAGCUGGUCUGAGAGGACGAUCAGCCACACUGGGACUGAGACACGGCCCAGACUCCUACGGGAGGCAGCAGUCGGGAAUAUUGGACAAUGGGCGCAAGCCUGAUCCAGCCAUGCCGCGUGUGUGAAGAAGGCCUUAGGGUUGUAAAGCACUUUCAGAAGUGAAGAAAGGCGUUGGGUGAAUAAUCUGACGUUUUGACGUUAGCUUCAGAAGAAGCACCGGCUAACUCCGUGCCAGCAGCCGCGGUAUACGGAGGGUGCGAACGUUAAUCGGAAUUACUGGGCGUAAAGCGCGCGUAGGCGGCUUGUUAAGUCAGAUGUGAAAGCCCCGGGCUCAACCUGGGAAUUGCAUUUGAAACUGGCAAGCUAGAGUGCAGUAGAGGGAGGUGGAAUUCCAGGUGUAGCGGUGAAAUG